AGAUACAGAGCGCAGGAUAUUAAUGUUUUUCUCACAUUUCUGUGAGACAUAAUCAAAGUGCUUUACGCCUGAUAAUUUUUGAUCUAACCAAAUCCCUAGAAAUUUAACAUUGGUAACAACAGCAGUUGAUAGUGACAACCCAUGUUGCAUUAAAUAAUCAGCAAGAUAUUCAAGUGCACAAUUUAACUGAUUGGAUGAAUCCUGUAUGGACUUGUUGGAAGUAUACAGAACAAUAUCAUCUGCAUAUUGCAGUAUUUGGCAGAAGGGGGAUACAGAGCUAUUGAGGUCAUAUGUAUACAGAUUGUAGAGAAGGGGACUAAGGACUGAGCCUUGAGAAACUUUUGCAAGAGUAGAAGAGAGGGCAAUUGGUCUAUAACUUGUGGCUUCAGAUGGAUUCUGACCAGGUUUAAGAAUUGGUAUUAUUACCUGAUUUUUCCAGGGUGGAGGGAUGACCCCAAAAUCAAAAAGGUUAUUUAUAAUAUCUAGGUAAUAUUUCUUGGAUGUAGUUGAUGAGUUUUUGAUGAAAGAAUAGGGGAUUCCAUCUGCUCCAGGAGCAGAAUCAGCUAGACCGUCUAAAGCGAGAAGGAGUUCAGAAAAAGAGAAAGGAGACUCUAAACUAUGAGUAGAGGCAAGAGGGCCUGGAGGGGAUGGAAAAUAGUCCAUGUUUGGAGCUGAAGGGGGGGACAUUCUAUCUGAAAAGUAUUCAAGCCACAAAGAUGAAUC